rnacentral:lncRNA from 1 species
CAAAUUUUCGACUGUAGGUAAACUAAUAAGAAAAGAAAAAGAUAUAAAUAGUAAAUUCAAAUCGUAUGAAUAAUAUUGGCGAACAAAAAAAGUAUCACAUUAUGUCGCCGGACAAUUGUAAGAUGCUAUAAAAUAGACUAAAAAUGUAUCGAAAAUAUAGCACAAAAGAAAUCAUGAAAUAACUCGGUGCAAUCCCAAUUUAAGAUGCAAACACAUCAAAAGAAAAACAAAAUCACAUCAUAUCUCCACAUGACACAAAACAAAAACCAACUGCAAUCAACAAAUAAGACGCAAAGAAUAAAAAAAAAUCCAUUCGCGGGCAACUACCGACUUAUAUUAUACUGUAUGAUCGAACACAAACAUAGAUCCCGCUAACAUGUUUAACCCCGCCACAUUAUUUAUGUAUGUGCCUGUCCCAAGUCAGGAGCC